rnacentral:rRNA from 1 species
AUGUGAUCGUCUCUCGCAUAUCAAUAAGCGGAGGAAAAGAAACUAACAAGGAUUCCCCUAGUAACGGCGAGUGAAGCGGGAAGAGCUCAAAUUUGAAAUCUUAAAGGGUUUCCCUUUACGAAUUGUAGUUUAAAGAAGUGUUUCCUGUUGAGGUUUUGGUAAAAGUUCUUUGGAAUAGGACAUCAUAGAGGGUGAGAAUCCCGUAUUUGACCUUUACUUUCAACUUUGUGAUACACUUUCAAAGAGUCGGAUUGUUUGGGAAUGCAGUCCAAAAUGGGUGGUAAAUUUCAUCUAAAGCUAAAUAUUGGCGAGAGACCGAUAGCGAACAAGUACCGUGAGGGAAAGAUGAAAAGAACUUUGAAAAGAGAGUUAAACAGUACGUGAAAUUGUCAAAAGGGAAGCGUUUGACACCAGUGUUGUUUUUCUGAAAAUCAAUUAAAGAACUGUUUAUGCUAAGCUGUUUAGACUUUAUCAGCUAUCUGUUUAGUUUUGAGCUUUUCUUUAAUGCACUUUUCAGUUAACAAGUCAACAUCAAUUUCUUUUGCUGUAAAAAAGCUUGAGGAAGGUGGCUUGAGAUUCGUCUUAAGUGUUUACAGCCUCUUGCCCAUGCAGUCGGAGAGAUUGAGGUCUGCAGCGUAGAUCCUUCGGGGCUAAAUGCAUUUGUGCUAAGUUAUAGCAUUUUAUAGACAACUUGUUGACUAUGAUUUGUCUUGUAGCUUACUCGCUUAUGUUAUUUUACCUACGCUUAGGAUGUUGAGCGCAUGUCUCUCUCU